UUGUGGGUGGGAAAAUCACGUCUGUUUAGCUGACAUUUUACUAGAAUGAGGCAGAUUUUAAAAAAUGUAUUAUGCGAAACGUAUUUAUGACAAUUCUCAGUAACAACUACAGUCCGCUAGUUUGAUCAGUGGUGAAUGGAUGCAAAAAUAAAAGCAAGUGUGCUGUUUCAAAUCUAUCAGUGUAGAUCAAGAGAUCAAAUCAAGAGGCUGACUAUAAAUCCCGAAUAUCUAUCUAAUCUCUGACCCAUCAUUGUCCAGUCCUAUAUAAAUUGAACAAUAUAAUAAUUCAUUAUUUUAGCCUUACAUCAUUCAUAGGGCUGCACUGCCCGCAAACUGUUUGUGAUUGCUAAUGCUCGAGGGCAUACGGCGUGGUGGAAAUCUGGUCGGGAGGUUUUAUACCCAUAUAACAACCAGAUUUAAUCCAAGAUACGUUUUUUUCAUGAUGUCAUGAAAAAUAUGUAUUCAUCUGAUCGACCUACUGACCAGUUAUCUAAAUGCUACUCAGUUAAUAAACAUGUGCAUAGUGUUUGUGGGCCAUGCACCCAUUGAAUAUAUGACACUGGAACCAUUACAAUUAUACAAAUUGGAGUAAUGUUCUUUUUCAGAAGGGUUUGCAUGAUUCGGUUUAGAACAGUUGGCAAAUAACAGCUGGCAGAGCGCACCAAAGCGGGUUAGGUUCUCAUGGACCCAGUCAAGAAGCUGGGCCUAUUCCGUUUGAGACUCGGACUCAGGGGGCUUCAUGCGGGCGGAUCUCUUCCCGAGUCCGGUAUAAUCAUAUUACCUUGGGCCAAGGCUAAUGGUACUCGGGCCGAGUCCUCUUCAGUUUGUCCGGUCCGAUUAACUUUUUCAGGAGUAGGGCCAUUUUACGUUUUAUCCGGCAGGUGAUGAAAUACCAGUUAAAAAAUGUUUUAUAUUUCACCUCCAAGGCAUCGAAUUUGCUAGGUCAUUAGCAAGCUAAAAUGUGUGACAGUCUCUGCGGCCCUAUAGCUAUCAGAGAUGGUUCCUAAUUUAGAGGAUCUAUGCUUUUUAAAUGUUUUUGAUUUUAGUACAGGCUAUGGUAAUGCUUUUCGUAGUUGCAGUCCACCGAAUUGAAAAGUGCACAUUCACUUCCAUAAUAUUUGUUCUAGGCUACCAGCAUGCAAGAUAAACAUGCACUAUAAUAUAGUAUAUGCCUACCUUUACAAAAAUGUACUGCCGUUAAAAUGCAGUAAAACUUCAGUACAAUGAAAUAAUGUUUUUAAAUGAAUAAUAUCUAGUAGCUUGCUGUGUGUCUUUUAAUGGUAACUGUUUGUUUAUUGUGCUGUGCAUUUUCUUCUGUUCCACUGAAUGCAAUUUAGAUUUGUUCAGAAUUUAACAAAAAAAAACACGUAGGCCUAUGUAUUUUAUUUCAAUAUCCUACUACAAUCCACCAGGAUUUACAAACCCCUAUAUUUAUUCCAUUUAUUUAAAUAGUCAAAUAGUCAAACAUUAUUGCACCUGAAUUUGACCCUGACAAUUAUAUUGUCUCUUAAAGCUUUUGAGCAAUUCAAAUUACUGCACGCAUUGUUAUUUUAAUGUCAGUAGCUAAAUGAGGAGAUAGGCAUAUCUGUUCCAACUAAAAUGUGGAUUGGAAUCGGUGCUAGCAGCAAUAUAUCUCCGUGCGCGGUGCAGGCAGCUUGAGCAAUCAAGCGCAUUGCUCAAGCAUCAUUGGGACAGAGCGCCUGGUAGGUUACACAACAACACAGCUGGAAAACAAUGACAACUUCGAAAUAUGCACAAAAAACUUUGAUAACAUUCUCCUGCAUUGUUGUUUUACUUUUGUAAGUAAGGCGGCGGUUUGUUGGGGAGAAGAACUUCAUGAGAAAUUUUGCUAGCUGGCUAAUUUUAGCUAGCUAACAUUAGCUCUCUAGCUAAUCAUCCAUGGACAUGAUCUGACCCAUCACACCACUAUUCAAGAAGGCCACUAUGCUCCAGAUCGCCUUCUCUGCGGUCCUCGAUGAGGAUCUACCCGAUUACACCACUCUUAUUAGGCAUUAAUAAAAAUCCCAAUGUGCAUUUAUAUACUCUGUCCAAGUCUUUCUAUGCAUGCAAUGUCUGUGGGUUAAUUAUGAAACAAUUACUGUCCAGAUGUGCAAAGAAUUGUGAUGUAGAUUGUUUUUUUGCCAUUGCUUGAUCUAUUUUAAAUGUAAGAAUAUGUUGCAGAUUGAAACUUUAAUUGGUGCCUAUGGAAACGAAUAGAAAUGUAACGAACAAGCUUUUCAAUAUCCAACUUUAUCCUUUGCAAUCCUUUUUACAGUAGGUAAUAAGCUGUAGUCAGGUGGUUAUUAUCAGGUUGUGAUGAGGUCUUAACUAUGACCUGUAGCCUACAUAAUAAACUCAGCAAAAAAAUAAACGUCUUCUCACUGUCAA